GACAGAGGCCUCAAGCGUUUAGGCGGAAUCACUGGGCUUAAAGCGUGUGUAGGCGGAUCGUUAAGUACCUUGUGAAAUCCCACGGCUCACCCGUGGAACUGCUGGGUAUACUGGCGGUCUUGGGCCAACUAGGGGCAGCUGGAACAAGCGGUGGAGCGGUGAAAUGCGUAGAUAUCGGCUUGGAACGCCGGAAGGUGAAAACAGGCUGCUGGGGUUGUGCCGACG
rnacentral:rRNA from 1 species